rnacentral:rRNA from 1 species
CACGCCGUAAACGAUGAUAACUAGCUGUCCGGGCUCAUGGAGUUUGGGUGGCGCAGCUAACGCAUUAAGUUAUCCGCCUGGGGAGUACGGUCGCAAGAUUAAAACUCAAAGGAAUUGACGGGGGCCUGCACAAGCGGUGGAGCAUGUGGUUUAAUUCGAAGCAACGCGCAGAACCUUACCAACGUUUGACAUCCCUAUCGCGGAUCGUGGAGACACUUUCCUUCAGUUCGGCUGGAUAGGUGACAGGUGC